UCUCCGUAGGUGAACCUGCGGAGGGAUCAUUACUGAGUGAGGGCUCACGCCCGACCUCCAACCCUUUGUGAACCAAACUUGUUGCUUCGGGGGCGACCCUGCCGACGACUUCGUCGCCGGGCGCCCCCGGAGGCCAUUAAACACUGCAUCAUUGCGUCGGAGUUAAAGUAAAUUAAACAAAACUUUCAACAACGGAUCUCUUGGUUCCAGCAUCGAUGAAGAACGCAGC
rnacentral:misc_RNA from 1 species